rnacentral:rRNA from 1 species
AAUGGAUUAGAUACCCCACUAUGCCCAGCCGUAAACACUGAUACCACUUUUAUCCGCCAGAGAACAACGAGCUAAAGCUUACAACCCAAAGGACUUGGCGGCGCUCCAUAGCGCCCUAGAGGGGCCUGUCACAUAAUCGAUAGCCCACGAUAGACCUCACCUCUUUUAGCCCCCUCAGCCUAUAUACCGCCGUCGCCAGUCCAUCUUGAAAAGGAAAUAAAAUGGACCCAACAGUCCCCACACUAACACGACAGGUCAAGGUGUAGCUUAUAAAGCGGCAAAUGAUGGACCACAUUGCUUACUAAGCCAAACCAAAAUUGCACUGAAACACACACUUUAAGGUGAAUUUAACAGUAAGGCAGACAAGAAAGUCUACCUAAAGACAGCUCUGGAGCGUGCACACACCGCCCGUCACCCU